UGCAGUCGAACGGUGAAGGAGGAGCUUGCUCCUUUGGAUCAGUGGCGAACGGGUGAGUAACACGUGAGUAACCUGCCCCAGACUCUGGGAUAAGCACUGGAAACGGUGUCUAAUACCGGAUACGAGCUUCAGCCGCAUGGCUAGGAGCUGGAAAGAAUUUCGGUCUGGGAUGGACUCGCGGCCUAUCAGCUAGUUGGUGAGGUAAUGGCUCACCAAGGCGACGACGGGUAGCCGGCCUGAGAGGGUGACCGGCCACACUGGGACUGAGACACGGCCCAGACUCCUACGGGAGGCAGCAGUGGGGAAUAUUGCACAAUGGGCGCAAGCCUGAUGCAGCAACGCCGCGUGAGGGACGACGGCCUUCGGGUUGUAAACCUCUUUUAGUAGGGAAGAAGCGAAAGUGACGGUACCUGCAGAAAAAGCACCGGCUAACUACGUGCCAGCAGCCGCGGUAAUACGUAGGGUGCAAGCGUUAUCCGGAAUUAUUGGGCGUAAAGAGCUCGUAGGCGGUUUGUCGCGUCUGCUGUGAAAACUGGAGGCUCAACCUCCAGCCUGCAGUGGGUACGGGCAGACUAGAGUGCGGUAGGGGAGAUUGGAAUUCCUGGUGUAGCGGUGGAAUGCGCAGAUAUCAGGAGGAACACCGAUGGCGAAGGCAGAUCUCUGGGCCGUAACUGACGCUGAGGAGCGAAAGCAUGGGGAGCGAACAGGAUUAGAUACCCUGGUAGUCCAUGCCGUAAACGUUGGGAACUAGAUGUAGGGACCAUUCCACGGUUUCUGUGUCGCAGCUAACGCAUUAAGUUCCCCGCCUGGGGAGUACGGCCGCAAGGCUAAAACUCAAAGGAAUUGACGGGGGCCCGCACAAGCGGCGGAGCAUGCGGAUUAAUUCGAUGCAACGCGAAGAACCUUACCAAGGCUUGACAUAUACCGGAAAAGUUCAGAAAUGUUCUCCCCGCAAGGCCGGUAUACAGGUGGUGCAUGGUUGUCGUCAGCUCGUGUCGUGAGAUGUUGGGUUAAGUCCCGCAACGAGCGCAACCCUCGUUCUAUGUUGCCAGCACGUAAUGGUGGGAACUCAU
rnacentral:rRNA from 1 species